CUGAAUCACCACAGCCUUGCCCCUGGACGAUAGCUAGAGCCUUCGCCUUCUGCCCAGCAUUCCCUGACGCACGCCUGUCCCUAGCCACGCCUGAUGAUCUGAGAGGCAGGGUCUCCAAGACUUAGCCAGUAGGGAGAGCUGGGUGAAUGGAUCCAAUCUGAGAUAGUGCUCUUGCGUGGUAAGUGCGUUAUCCACUGGGCCAUCUCCCCAGACACUGUGAGGGUUUGGUUUUUGGUUUUUGUUGGUUUUGUUGUUGUUGUUGUUUUGCUUAAAGACAAGAUCUUGGGCUGGUAGAAUGGCUCAGCAGGUAAGGAUGCCCACUAAGUCUGAGUUGACUAAUUCCCAGCUGACUCCUUCAAGUUGUUCUAACUUAAUAAAAAUUAAAAUCAGGGGCUGGAGAGAGAGAGUGCUCAGCGGUUAAGAGCACUGACUGCUCUUCCAAAGGUCCCGAGUUCAAAUCCCAGCAACCACAUGGUGGCUCGCAACCAUCCGUAAUGAGAUCUGACACCUUCUUCUGGAGUGUCUGAAGACAGCUACAGUGUAC
ensembl:processed_transcript